CGCAAUUUGCUUCAUUUUCGUAACUUCAAUGAUAUGUGUACUUCUCAGAUAUGCGUUUUAAACUCUUACCCGAUUCAAAUUCAUAGACAUGCUUGCUGUUGCUAUCAUCCAUAAGCUGAUCGCAGUACGCCUUAUGUUUUCGAUCUUUGCUGUUUUCUAGUAGCAAACUAGUAACACGCCGUAGAGCCUCGCGGGGUGAUUUAUUCAAGAAGGAAGGUGUAAGAUUUGGUGGCAGUGUUAAAGGCUUACGAGAUUGUCCGGUGCCCGACAUGACCGUCGGAUUGUCCCACACCCGCAUGGAAGCCAUUCGAUCUAUGUUCUCGGUGGAGACGGGUCGCAUUCCCCGUUGCUUGGGAUACCAUCCUCGAGCCGGGGCCCCGGUCAUGCGAAGCAUUUCGUUGGAGGCCAAGGCAUGAUUUAUUGAGCGCUGACGGCAAAUUUGGGCUGUACCAUAGUUACCACCUAUUGAUAGGGUAUGAAAUAUAAUAACACUGUGUAAAAUGAAAACAUUUAAAUUUAACCGAAAGUGGUCUGAAGCUGACGGAGCUCAAAGUUGGUUAAAUCAGUUUUACACAUUUUUUAACGCUAAUGGAACGCAACCGUAUUUUUGGGCGGUAAAUGAAAACCUAUAAUAUGUGUUACAUAUUGCUUUAAACAUCAGACUUCGGAUUGAUUGAACGAAUUAAGUUUUUAUACCAUGCUUAUCCAAAAAAUCUAAAUAUUUUAUAAAAUGGCAAUGUUUGGCAUUUCAAUUACCAAGAUAAGUAAUAACAUUAAAAAAAACCGGAUACCGUUGAUUUUUUGGUGAGAGCGGUACCUUUAGGCGUUUUGUGGAGUAGAGAAAAAAAAAAGACAAGCGGUGAUCUGACUUUUUGGGGGUUUGUUGGCGUUAGAAGAGGGAGUGUGGCAAGCAAAAUAAAAUUUUGUAAUACCGGU
ensembl:ncRNA asRNA:CR46066 antisense RNA:CR46066